CCAGAGAGGACAGGGCGAGACCACCGGUGACUCUGACCUCAGGACAGGUCUUCUGCAGGGGGCAGCACAGCUCCGACUGGCCCAGUGUUCCCUGUAAUAGAAGAUCACUGGCUGUUCACUGGGCUGCUUAUUCUCUGUGAUGGACAGACACUGGACUGGUUGUAGGUGGGCUCCUGAAAAGACUGCUGAGCCCAGAAGCAGGAGUGUGAUUAGAGAGGAGGGACAGGACAGAAGUGUGGAGCUC